rnacentral:lncRNA from 1 species
AUUUUGGAGAGACAGUUUGAUCAGAUGACUAAGCCAGCUAGUCCAGCAAUCAAAGAACUUUCAGAACUUGUUAUACAAUGAAAAGUCAAAACUAAAUGGAGUAACCAUGAAUGUGUUGGAGAACUUCUCGAAAUUCCGGUCUGUUCCAGAAUGUGGUUGUCUUAUUUGUCUUGUGUCCCUCUACGAGUUUCCUUCACUGCAGUUGAGACUACUGUGUAUGUUUUGGAUCCCAAGACUAGCAGUGACUGGCAUCUUCACCAUCCCUGAGUGA